UACAUAAGUCGUAACGCUAAACACGUUGAGAAUAGAGAAAGAUUUCAGAUAUAUUAUAGAAGAUAUUAUAAAAAUGAAACAAAAAGUAGCAGACAUGGACAAACAAUUUCUUGACA